rnacentral:rRNA from 1 species
GAUGAACGCUAGGCGACAGGCUUAACACAUGCAAGUCGAGGGGCAGCAUGAACUUAGCUUGCUAAGUUUGAUGGCGACCGGCGCACGGGUGAGUAACGCGUAUGCAACUUACCUAUCAGAGGAGAAUAGCUCAUCGAAAGAUGAAUUAAUGCUCCAUAAAACAGGGGUCCCGCAUGGGAAUAUUUGUUAAAGAUUUAUCGCUGAUAGAUAGGCAUGCGUUCCAUUAGGCAGUUGGCGGGGUAACGGCCCACCAAACCGACGAUGGAUAGGGGUUCUGAGAGGAAGGUCCCCCACAUUGGUACUGAGACACGGACCAA